rnacentral:pre_miRNA from 1 species
UCACCUCCGCAGCCUGCGGGCCCCAGCCUGGCUGGGAGAGUAUCUCUUUGAAAGGCCCACCUUCAAGCAGGACUAAGAGC